CAGAUGUCUUUGGACUAGUAAUUAGGGGAUGUGCCUGAAGGCUUCAGUUAUCAUCAUUGCUUGGGGACAAUUUUCCAUCCAAUCAUCAUUUCCUACUACAGAACUUCACUGCUGAGAAGAGGAAGGUCAUUGGGGAAAGCAGCAGAAUCUGGAAGAAGAGAAGUUAUACAGUUGCCCAGCAGAGAUGCCCCUUUGCUGUCUCAGCCUGGAUGCCUGUGGCAACAGUUGCAGUAGGAACAGCCCACCUGGAAGUCUUCUUGUCAGCAUCACUGGAUCCUGGGAACCCACAAUUUCCUGCUCUUCACCAAAUUCUGGAUAGCCAGCUGAAUUAAACUCAGGAUGAAGACUUUUGGAAAAAAAGCAAUUUCUGAGUGCUGCAGACACAAUAUGGAGUGGGUACUUGAAAGUAUGAUGAGCCUAAGCGGUACCCUAAGACAACCUCAUCUCACACCUCAGCAUAGCUGUGGGACUUCUGUUGGCCUGGGAUACAGCCACAAGCACCUCUGCAGUUCAGAAUUUCUCUGAGAAUAAAGUUCAUGCCAGCUCCAAGGGCAAGGUUAGCUGAACCAAAGUAGGGCAAAGGUGAAUGGAAAAUGGCAGCAAGCGAUGAGGAGAAGAACAAAACAGGAUGCAGGAAGUCAUCAGUGACCAGCCUCCUUUCACCCAGAGCAGAGAGGGACACAAAUC